GUGAGUAAUGUCUGGGAAACUGCCCGAUGGAGGGGGAUAACCACUGGAAACGGUGGCUAAUACCGCAUAAUCUCGCGAGAGCAAAGUGGGGGACCUUCUGGCCUCACGCCAUCGGAUGUGCCCAGAUGGGAUUAGCUUGUUGGUGGGGUAAAGGCUCACCAAGGCGACGAUCCCUAGCUGGUCUGAGAGGAUGACCAGCCACACUGGAACUGAGACACGGUCCAGACUCCUACGGGAGGCAGCAGUGGGGAAUAUUGCACAAUGGGCGCAAGCCUGAUGCAGCCAUGCCGCGUGUAUGAAGAAGGCCUUCGGGUUGUAAAGUACUUUCAGCGGGGAGGAAGGUGAUGUGGUUAAUAACCGUAUCAAUUGACGUUACCCGCAGAAGAAGCACCGGCUAACUCCGUGCCAGCAGCCGCGGUAAUACGGAGGGUGCAAGCGUUAAUCGGAAUUACUGGGCGUA
rnacentral:rRNA from 1 species